rnacentral:rRNA from 1 species
CCUACGGGAGGCAGCAGUGGGGAAUUUUGGACAAUGGGCGCAAGCCUGAUCCAGCCAUGCCGCGUGCAGGAUGAAGGCCUUCGGGUUGUAAACUGCUUUUGUGAACAGUGCGGUACCGUAAGAAUAAGCACCGGCUAACUACGUGCCAGCAGCCGCGGUAAUACGUAGGGUGCGAGCGUUAAUCGGAAUUACUGGGCGUAAAGCGUGCGCAGGCGGUUAUGUAAGACAGAUGUGAAAUCCCCGGGCUCAACCUGGGAACUGCAUUAGUGACUGCAUAGCUGUAGUACGGCAGAGGGGGAUGGAAUUCCGCGUGUAGCAGUGAAAUGCGUAGAUAUGCGGAGGAACACCGAUGGCGAAGGCAAUCCCCUGGGCCUGACUGACGCUCAUGCACGAAAGCGUGGGGAGCAAACAGGAUUAGAUACCCUUGUAGUC